rnacentral:rRNA from 1 species
GUAUUAGGAGCCUAAAACAGCGGAGCUACCAUGCAGUCGAACGGUAACAGGAGAGAGCUUGCUCUCUUGCUGACGAGUGGCGGACGGGUGAGUAAUGCAUAGGAAUCUGCCCAGUAGUGGGGGACAACUCGGGGAAACUCGAGCUAAUACCGCAUACGCCCUACGGGGGAAAGCGGGGGAUCUUCGGACCUCGCGCUAUUGGAUGAGCCUAUGUCAGAUUAGCUUGUUGGUAGGGUAAAGGCCUACCAAGGCUACGAUCUGUAGCUGGUCUGAGAGGACGAUCAGCCACACUGGGACUGAGACACGGCCCAGACUACUACGGGAGGCAGCAGUGGGGAAUAUUGGACAAUGGGGGCAACCCUGAUCCAGCAAUGCCGCGUGUGUGAAGAAGGCCUGCGGGUUGUAAAGCACUUUCAGUGGGGAGGAAAAGCUCAAGGUUAAUACCCUUGAGUCUUGACGUUACCCACAGAAGAAGCACCGGCUAACUCCGUGCCAGCAGCCGCGGUAAUACGGAGGGUGCAAGCGUUAAUCGGAAUUACUGGGGCGUAAAGCGCGCGUAGGCGGCUUGAUAAGUCGGAUGUGAAAUCCCUGGGCUUAACCUGGGAAUUGCAUUCGAUACUGUCAGGCUAGAGUGUGGUAGAGGGGAAGUGGAAUUUCCGGUGUAGCGGUGAAAUGCGUAGAUAUCGGAAAGAACAUCAGUGGCGAGGCGGCUUCCUGGAUCAACACUGACGCUGAGGUGCGAAAGCGUGGGGAGCAAACAGAUUAGAUACCCUGGUUAGUCACCCGUAAACGAUGAGACUAGAUGUGGGGAGCUACGUCUCCUUAGGAUCCGAGCUAACGCGUUAAGUUCUCCGCCUGGGGGAGUACGGCCCCGCAAGGCUAAAACCUCAAAAGUGAAUGGAACG